rnacentral:rRNA from 1 species
GAUGAACGUUGGCGGUGUGCCUAAUACAUGCAAGUCGAACGGAGACUGUAGCAAUACUGUCUUAGUGGCGAACGGGUGAGUAACGCGUUGGUGAUCUGCCUCGAAGUGUGGAAUAACCUCCCGAAAGGGAAGCUAAUACCGCAUAGUCUCUCAAGGUUUAGAAAAUUGAGAGUAAAGGAUUUAUUCGCUUCGAGAGGAGCCUGCGUCCCAUCAGCUAGUUGGUAGGGUAACGGCCUACCAAGGCAAUGACGGGUAGGGGACCUGAGAGGGUGGCCCCCCACAAUGGAACUGAAACACGGUCCAUACACCUACGGGUGGCAGCAGUAGGGAAUAUUAGUAAUGGGCGAAAGCCUGAACUAGCAACGCCGCGUGUGCGAAGAAGGCCUUCGGGUUGUAAAGCACUUUUGAGAGGAUGAGGAAGGACGGUACUCUCAGAAUAAGUCUCGGCUAACUACGUG